rnacentral:rRNA from 1 species
UUGAACGCUGGCGGCAUGCCUUACACAUGCAAGUCGAACGGCAUCGCGGGAAAGCUUGCUUUCCUGGCGGCGAGUGGCGAACGGGUGAGUAACACAUCGGAACGUACCGGCUAGUGGGGGAUAACCCGUCGAAAGACGGGCUAAUACCGCAUACGCUCUUCGGAGGAAAGCAGGGGACCUUUGGGCCUUGCGCUAGCCGAGCGGCCGAUGUCCGAUUAGCUAGUUGGUGGGGUAAAGGCCUACCAAGGCGACGAUCGGUAGCGGGUCUGAGAGGACGAUCCGCCACACUGGGACUGAGACACGGCCCAGACUCCUACGGGAGGCAGCAGUGGGGAAUCUUGGACAAUGGGGGCAACCCUGAUCCAGCAAUGCCGCGUGGGUGAAGAAGGCCUUCGGGUUGUAAAGCCCUUUCGGCAGGGAAGAAAUCAGCGGGGCGAAUAACCCUGCUGGAUGACGGUACCUGCAGAAGAAGCACCGGCUAACUACGUG